rnacentral:lncRNA from 1 species
UUUUUUUUUUUUUUUUUUUUUUUAAAGAUUUUAAAUGUAUUUAUUCAUGAGAGACACACACACACACACACACACAGGGGCAGAGACAUAGGCACAGGGAGAAGCAGGCUCCAUGCAGGAAGCCUGAUGUGGGACUCAAUCCUGGGUCUCCAGGACCACACCCUGGGCCAAAGGCAGAUGCUCAACCCCUGAGCCACCCAGAUGUCCCUGCCCCUGGCCUUUUAAGUGGAGGUGAGCCUUCUCUAAGUCAACAAACAAGAGCUCUCGGACAGGUGCUAACUAGGCAGUAACAGGAGGGGCUGUGGGAGGCCUCUGACUCUCUCCUGCUCCCUUAUAGCUGACUCACUGCUUUCCAGCCCCUUGGUUUUCCUGGCAUUGCCCUGUUUUUAAGCUCUGCCUUAAAAAAAUUUUUUUGUUGUUUUUGUUGUUGGGGGACUCCUGGGUGGCUGAGAGGUUGAACAUCUGCCUUCAGCUCGGGGCAUGAUCCUGGAGUCCUGGGAUUGAGUCCCACAUCAGGCUCCUCAGAGGGAGCCUGCUUCUCCCUCUGCCUCUGUCUCUGCCUCUCUCAUGAAUAAAUAAAAUCUUUAAAAAUAUAUUUUUUAAAAUUGAGGUGAAAGUCAUGUAAUCCAUAACUGACCAUUUUAAACUGAAUACCUCAGUGACAUUUAGCACAUUCAUAAUGUUGCGCAACCACUACCUGUGGAGUUCUAGAAUGUUUUGUCACCCCAAAAGGGAACCCCAUACCCGUCAAUCAAUAGUCAUUCUUCAUUCCCUUUCCCACCAGCCCCUGACAACUGCCAAUCUGCCUUCUAUCUCUGUGGAUUUCUCUAUUCUGGACAUUUCACAUAGACAGAAUUAUACAAUAUGUGACUUUUGGCUUCUCACUUGUUUGACUCACCCUAAUGUUUUUGAGGUGUAUCUAGGCGGUAGCAAGUAUCAGUACUUCAUUCCUUUUUGUGGCUGAAUAACAUUCCAUUGUAUGGACAUAACCACUUUUUUUUAGUUCAUUAUCUGUUGAUGGACAUUUGGGUUCCCACCUUUUGGCUAUUAAGCUCUGCCUUCUUGGCUGUGGGGGCACCCAAUAUUUAUGUUUACUGCCAUAUUCUGCUUCUCUUCCUUCCUAACAUGCUUGUUCUGUGGACAGGGCUCACCUGGCCCCAGCUGGCAUCGAAUGUACACCAGUAGGCCUUUGGACAGAGUAAGCUUUGAUGGCCUUUUCUCUCCUUGGAGCUGCAGGAUCUGUUUCUUUUUUUCUUAUCAAGAUAAACACCCCAAGUUUCCUUAGCAUUUCUCCAAGAAUAAGAAGGGGAAGGUAGCAGGUCUUCCACAGCACUUGUCCCAGGUCAUUUCCUCUAGGCAUUCCUGCUAUCGAGUCCUACCUCUGUGUCUGGACUUCCCCUCCAGACCAGGGCUGUCAUUUGUAGACAGCCCUAUGGGGACCCUGGCUGGUUCCUCCCAUUUUCCUCGAGUUGCUUUCUCUGCUGAGCAAAGGUUCUGAGCUUUUGCAGCAGCUGGCACCAAGAGAAGGCUCCAAACCCAUCCCACUUCCUCCCUGGAUACCCUCCACCCCUCUGGCUUCCAUCCUCAUACUGGUACAGGACAAAGGACUCCCCACUGCAAGUGCCAGGAAACUAGCUCAACUAGCAGAAAAUGGGCUGACAUCAUUGUCCUGUGUAGCUGGGACUAACCAUGGGGUUGGUUCUGGCUUCAAGCAGAGAGAUCAGGGGCUAGAGAAGUUGCUUGGCCUCUGUGGCUGUGCUGGCCAUAUUCUCACCCACUGGACAGGACUGCAUCCCACCCCACGGAGCUGAAGUGACUUUUCACAGCGCCAGACCAGCAACAUCCCAGCUCAGAAACCCUGAGCCAUGUAAGGAAGGCCUGUCUCUUGAGUCUGACAUCAGUCUUGGGAAAGGACUCGGCUUGGUUCUGCUCAGAUCGCAGGUACAGUGCUAGACUGCAGGGUACCAUGAAGGCCAGGCUGGGUUGGGCAUUCCCCACUAUGGGCCUGGGAUGAGAAAUGAACAGGCUGACAAAAGGUGAGUUUCUAGGCCCUCGACAUGUAGGAUAUUGACUUAUGUGUUUAUUCACCCUUCAAGACCUAGAUAGAAAAAGGCAUUCACAACAAAGUCACUUACCUGUAUGCCUAAUCUUUCUUGCUGAUCUAUGCCCCAUACUUAGCCUGGUGCCUCUGACACAUACAGUGAAUUACUUAAAUAUGUGUUGAAUGAGGGACCAGAAAGUCACCACAGGAUUUGCCCAGUUUUGCAAAAUAUGGGAUUGUCUGCUUUAGUGAAGACGGGCCCCUUUCUAUGAGGCUGUCAGGUGCUGCUUAUGUGGAAUUCAUUCUGAAGUGAAUUCUUUAAAGGAAGUAGGAGAAAUGCCUUGUCUUUUUCUUUUUCAGUUCUUUUUCCAGGAAAGUGUUGAAAUCUGCAGUGGGUGAAAGAAUAUAUUUUGAAUUCACUUAACAAAAUAUCAUAAAGGAAAAAGUCAGCGUCUUUAAAAUCAAGGCUUCCUAAAACAGAUCACGUGCUUUGGUGUAUUGUGAGUGAUAUAAAUCUGAUUUCCCUGGGGAAAGGUGACCAAGAGAAGUCAUGAGAAAAGCUCUAAGAGAACCUGUUCCUGCCCAGCAUGAGUUUGGCCUGUACUUCCAGAGGCCUGGCUGCAGGUACACUAGGUGGCAAAGGCAUACAUCUGGGUUCCACAGCCUGGGAGUCACGGCUGACCUUUCCUGAGGCUUCUACAGAUGGCCACAUCUGUUACGGCCAUGCUUUCAUCCAGUCACUAAGGAUUUGUGGAGCACCUACUAUAUUACAUGGUCUGUGCUGUGUCCUGGAGAUGCAAUGGGGAGCCAGAACCACAGCACACACCCUCUUGGAAUUUUGAGUGGGAGGGGCAGGGAUCAGCCUGGGGGGAGGAAAGUCAGUGUAGGCUUCCCUGAAGAAGUGAAGCUUGGACUGGACCUUGAUGUCUGGGUGACAGUUCAUUCAGUAGGAAGAGAUUCAGGCAGGGGGAACAGCAUAUGCAAAGGCCAUGGGGUGAGAGCUCUGCUCCCCUGAGGGACUGAGGAAGGUCAGAGAAGGCAAUGGGCUAGAGAGGUGUGGGUGAGCCUGGGGAGGUGGACAGGGCCUGGUAGGUGUGGUAAUGACCUUGGCCUUACUGAACAUCAAUGUGAAGCCAGGGAAGUGUUUUAAGCAAGAGGAUGGCACCAGGCUGUGUUGCACAAGCCCCCCAAGAGGGGCUGCAAUGGCAGGAAAGCCAUUUUGUGGGUGGCUCCAUUUCCUUCUUGCCUGGCUUCUUCUCUGUUAGAGUUCCAGCCAGACUUGCUCUUCUCUCAAUUAGACCUCUGCAGUCUUGCUUGCUCGGCACCUCAUGCAAUUCCCUCCACUUGGAAUUUGUAACAUCUCUUUCCUGCAUUUCUGCCAGUUAGACUGGCAUUUUCUUUCAGACCUGUAGAAAUUCUCUCUCUCUCUCUCUCUCUCUCUCUCUCACACACACACACACACACACACACACACACACAUACACACACCCCGCCAUCACUCCCUGGCUGGCCCUUGAUGGAGUUGAUCUCCAUCUUCCCACUGGGAAAGCCAUUGCAAGUUUUUUGAGCCAUGUGGCUGUAUCAGUUCUAGGCAAGCCGCCGUGCAUGUGGUGUGCUGGCUAGUCAUGUGGCCCUAGGACAGCUGCCUGAGCUCAAACUUGCCUUUGCUCACUUCCAGCUGUGUGACCUCCUGCCAAGUGCCCCAGCUCUCAGGCCUUCCCCAACUACGGGAUGGAGACAGUGAUCUCUCUGAGGAUGGGAUGGAAGAUUCCCAGAGCCAGCCUGUAGUAGAUGCUCAGAACUGAUCUCGCACACAGGAGAGCUCCAGAAACAUGUCUGAUUAUUACCACUGGGCAAACAGCACAUGCCUGAAGCACCAAAACAUUUUUGGCAAGAAUGUAAUGUUUCAAAAUAGGCAUUGUAUGUUGUUAUCAUGAGAAAAGUCAGGAUUCCAUCAGGCUUCCUGAUCCUCGUUUAAUGGUUACAGUUUUUAUUUACAUCUCAGGGGCUUAGAGCCAUUAAAGGACCCCAUGGGGCUCUGUAGGGUUCUAGGCCCUCUGGGUUCAUCCCUCUGGUCCCUCUCUGAACCCAGGGUUCAGAGAAGAUAUGGUGAGGGGGUAGUUGUUUUAGGCCAACCAGAGAGAGGAUAGUAGAGCAGUGCUAUGAUCUCCUGGUCAUCCCACCUCAGAGUAGAUGCAUCCACCUAACCCCGCUGCUGCAGACAGUGACUCCUGAACAGAUGGUAGUUCUUUCUCACCCUUUCUCUCUGCUGCGCUUCCCUGAACAGAUAUUCAGGCCUUUGGAAGGGGGUUCAAUUACUCAAUUUGGGAGAGCCACUGGGUACACGCCAGGUUCUGGAAGAACUCAGUGUCAGGUCUCAAGGCAAAGGAUCCUCCAGUGCAGGGUGACCUCCUUGGCCUCACGGGGAGAGCCCUGGUAGAUCCUUGCUCACCCUGGGGUUUAUGUAACAUCUUUCCCAAUCGUCCUCAAAGCCAGUCUAUGACAUAAGCAAAUGUGUGCCUUUGUCUGCCGUAGUGUCUGGUGGGUAUUUACGAAGUACUAGCUAUGGGCCAGGUAUUUGCUUGCAUUAUUCACACGCUCACUGUCCUUUAGAGGUAGCAUUUGCUGCUGCAUUUUUUAAAAUAGAUACUAUCAAAUUUCUCACUCUAAGUGUAUAAUUCAGUGGGUUUUAGUAUACUCAGAAGAUUAUGCAACCAUCGCCACUAUUUAAUUCAAAAACACUUUCAUCACCCCAAAGGAAACCCCAUGCCCAUUAGCUAUAAAUCCUAUCCUCAAACCCCUUCAGGGCCUGGCAACCCCUCCUCUCCUGUCUGUCUCUAUGAAUUUACCUAGUCUGGACAUUUCAUACAACUGGAAUUGUACAACAUGUGGCCUUUUGACUGGUCUCUUUCACUUAGCAUCAUGUUUUUGAAGUUCAUCCACAUUGUGGCAUGUAUCGGGACCUCAUUCCUUUCUGUGGCUGAAUAAGAUUCCAUUGUAUGGAUAGACCACAUUUUUAAAAAUCCAUUUUCUAUCGAUGGACAUUUGGGUCGCUCCCACAUUUUUGGCUUUUUUGAAUAAAUUCUGCUAUAAAUAUUUUGUG